rnacentral:lncRNA from 1 species
NNNNNNCGUGUCCUACACGGUGCCCUCCAGCCUGCCGGCCGGCCCGCCGCCGCUGAGCACCGCCGCCGGCUCCUUCCCCUGCCUGCCGCUGCACGCCGGCGCCGACGUGCUGUGCCCGCUGGCGGACAAGGGCGGCCGGGAGCUGAAGCUCAGCGGGGCCACGCUGGUGCCGUCCGUGGGGCACCUGGCCGACAAGAGCCGGCCCUUCCAGGUGGCGGCGGAGAGCUGCGGGCUGGAGCGGCCCGAGGGCAAGGAGCGGCACGCCGCCGAGGCGGGCGCCGAGCCUCCCGGCGGCGCCUACGGCCCCCCGGCCUUCCACCACGCGCUCAAGGCGGAGGCCAAGGCGGAGCGGCGCCUGGACUGGGGCCCCCCCGGCCCCGCCGCCCGCCUCAAGGGCCUCGAGUACCUCGGCGGCGGCGGCGGCGGUGGGGGGGCCGAGACCCCCUUCGCCGGCUUGGGCCACGCGCCCAAGGGCGGCCUGGAGAAGGGCGGCUACUUCGAGCCGCCGCCACCGCCACCGCCGCCGCCGCCGCCGGACUGCUCGCGGGCCGCCCACCCCGACCCGCUGGGCGCCAAGCUGGGCCCGUCCUGCUGCACUUUAGAGAAGGGCCCCAAGGAGGCCCCGGGCCACGCGCCGCAGAAGGUGGCACGCAUCCGGCACCAGCAGCACGACGCGGAGCCCGCCGGCGGUGCCGGUGCCGGCGAUGCCAAGCGCAAGCCGCUGGAGCUCARCGCGCUGGGCUACGGCGCGCCCCACCUGCCCCCCUGGGGCGUGCAAGGCCAGGGCCCCCCCAUGGCCGUGGCGGAGGAGAGGAAGGGCUCCUACCUGGACCCCUUCAGCACCAGUUUGCAGCAGGCUGCAUUGAUGACUCAGGGCUCGGUGCUGAGCCAGGACAUGCCGACCCCCCCGGACGAGGUCUCGGCCAUGAAGAACCUCCUCAAGUACAGCAACCAAGCACUUAUCGUGGGCCAGAAGGCGCCGUUCGUGGGGCUGGGCGGCCUCAAGGGCAGCUGCGCCCACCAGGACGCCAAGUUCCCGCYGGGCAAGGGGCAGCAGGAGCUGGAGCGGCCCGACUGCGCCCGCGGCCGGGAGCACGAGCUGGGCCACGGCGAGGGCGAGGUGCGGCAGCCGCCCGUGGGCAUCGCCGUGGCCGUGGCGCGGCAGAAGGACACGCUCAGCCGCCCCGAACCCUCCUACGGCAGCGGCUCCAGCCGGCAGAGCCGGGCGGCCGUGGGC